UUCCGUCUGUACUGCAAGUUGUGAUGUGUAGUGGAUUGGCUCCUGUGAUGAUCACUAUUGCAACAGCUGCAUCUUCUUCAUCUUCUUCACCUUUUUGUUUUGCAGAACAAAUUCGCAUAUUGCCCUCAAUGAAGGACAGAUGUUGUGCAAUUAACCAAUCCACGCGAAUAGGCAAGUUUUCAUGCUUGAAAAGCCCGCGUUUGAUGUUUAUGAACUCUGCUUCAACAUUGGCUGAACUUGCGGUGAUGAUGGUGCUUCGGAAGUGAGGGAUCAUUACCCCUGUCCAGAGUGGUCUGUUUGUGUUUGGUCAAAUGGAUCCACUUCUUCCAAGUCCUCACCCUCUACAACUGGAAUGAUUACACACUCUUUUGCAAUUCGGGCUUUCAGGUAUUUCUUGUACCUUUCUGAUAUAAGGGGGGCUCCAGAGCUGUAAUUUCUCUCUGCUUUGCUGAGAGCCACAACAGUAAUAUGGCAUAGUAGCUCUCUUGCAUUGUCCAUGGAUUGUGACUUGAGAAACUCUGCCAUUGACCUCAUAAAGAAAUCAUUAAUCUUUGUGUUUUUUUCUUCAAGCAGUCCCACAAGCUGAUGAUGCAGUGUGCAACAUCAACUUGAACAAAAUGAAGUGGCACUUUUGCUGACUCUUUACUGAGUAAGACACCACAACACUCAUUGAUGUAGGUCUUCAGAUCAGGAUGAGGAGUAAAAACCUUGACCAGAGCUCUGAGCAAAGCCAGAGAAAAGUCACUCACAACCUCUUUUGGAAUUCCAUUAUGUCAACCAAUGUGUCAUUGCAUUAACAUUCAAUUCAAUUCAAUUAAAAUUUAUUUGUAUAGCGCUUUUUACAAUGGACAUUGUCUCAAAGCAGCUUUACAGAAACAUAUAAACACAUAUACAGAUUUUAAAUGUGCGAAUUUAUCCCAACUGAGCAAGCCGGUGGCGACGGUGGCAAGGAAAAACUCCCUAAGAUGUUAAGAGGAAGAAACCUUGAGAGGAACCAGACUCAGAAGGGAACCCAUCCUCAUCUGGGUAACAACAGAUAGUGUAAAAGUAAAGGAAAGUUCAUUGUGGUUUAAUAUGAAGUCUGUUUUGGCCUUAGAAGCAACCGUAGUCCCUGGAACUGGAGUAGAUGAGAGCUCCAUCCAGAGGUAGGGCAUCCGAACGGAUCAGGCAGGUCCAGGGAGCGGAAAGGAUCAGGAUCUCUAGUAUCUCCAUAAAAUUGUGUGUGGCUCGACAGAAGGAGAGAGGGAGAGAAGAGAUUGUUAGGACUGUGUAAUAGAAAGUCUACACAUGGUAGGCUUGAGUGAACAAAUAUGUUUUAAGCCUAGACUUAAACACUGAGACUGUGUUUGAGUCCCGAACACUAAUCGGAAGGCUAUUCCAUAAUUGUGGGGCUGUAUAAGAGAAAGUUCUUCCCUCUGCUGUGACCUUCGCUAUUCGAGAUACCGUCAAAUAGCCUGCAUCUUUUGAUCUAAGUAGGCGUGACGGAUCAUAGAAAACCAAAAUUUCGCUUAGAUACUGUGGCGCGAGACCAUUUAGUGCUUUAUAAGUUAAUAAUAGUAUUUUAUAAUUAAUGUGGGAUUUCACUGGAGCCAAUGCAGUGCUGAUAAGAUUGGGGUGAUGUGGUCGUACCUUCUGGUUCUAGUAUGGCCUCUAGCAGUUACAUUCUGGACUAACUGGAGUUUGUUUAUGCUCUUACUGGAACAUCCAGACAGUAUAGCAUUACAAUAAUCUAGUCUAGAGGUGACAAAAGCAUGAACUAAAAAUUCUGCAUCAUGUAGUGACAAUAUAUUUCUUAUCUUGGAAAUAUUUCUGAGAUGAAAGGAGGCUAUCCUAGUAAUAUUAUCUACAUGAGCGUCAAUGAAAGACUGGAGUCAAUAAUCACACCAAGGUCUUUUACUGAUUCACAUGACGAAAGAGAAAGUCCAUCCAGAGUUACUGUAUAAUCAGAAAGCUUACUUCUACAGUAGCUACACAUGGUCCUAGUACAAGUACUUCUGCCUUCAGAAUUAAGUAAGACGAAGUUAAUAAGCAUCCAACGUCUAAUGUCUUUUGCACAUUCCUCAACUUUAUUAAGCUGCUGUCUGUUGUCUGGCUUUGCUGAAACAUACCAUAUCAUCAGCAUAACAGUGGAAGCUAAUUCAAUGUUUAAGAAUAAUUUGACGUAGAUGUAGCAUAUAUAAAGUAAAAAGCAGUGGGCCUAAAACAAAACCUUGUGGAACACCAAAUUUAACCUCGGUAUGUGUGGAGAAGUCACCAUUUACAUCUACGUACUGAUAACGAUCGGUCAAAUAAGACCUGAGCCAGGAGAGGGCCGUUCCCUUAAUGCCAACAACAUUUUGUAGUCUGUCAAGGAGAAUAGUGUGAUCUAUAGUAUCAAAAGCUGCACUAAGGUCAAGUAAUACAAGCAACGAGACACAACCCUGAUCAGAGGCCAGUAGUAGGUCGUUUACUACUUUAACUAGCGCUGUCUCUGUGCUAUGAUGAGGUCUAAACCCCAACUAAUACACAUCAUGAAUGUUGUUCCUACGUAAGUACGAGCAUAGCUGCUGUGCUACAACCUUUUCUAAAAUCUUGGAGAAAAAGGGGAGAUUGGAUAUAGGUCUAUAGCUGGACAGUUGAGAGGGGUCAGGGUCAGGUUUUUUAAUCAGGGGUUUAAUAGCUGCUAAUUUAAAUGAUUUUGGUACAUAGCCAGUGCUAAGGGAAGAAUUGAUUAUAUUUAAAAGCGGUUCAAUUACUCUAGGACAAAUCUGUUUAAAGAAACAUUUAGGUACAGGAUCAAGUAUGCAGGUUGAUGAUUUUGCUGAAGAGUUUAAUGAAGCUAGUUCAGUCUCUACAAGGGGAGUAAAACAUUCUAAACGUUGAUCUGAUAUUGCUAUAUUGUCAUCUACAGGGUUAGUUAUAAAACUGCUUGGUUUUAAUUGAAUAGCCUGAAUUUCACAUCUAAUAUUUUUAACUUUACCAAUGAAAAAGUACAUGAAAUCUUUGCUGCUGUGUAAUGAUUGUGUGCUUCUCUCUGUAGUGGUUUUAUUCCUAGUUAAUUUUGCUACCAUGUUGAAUAGAAAUCUCGAAUUGUUUUUGUUAUCUCCAAUUAAGAUGGAGAGAUAGACUUUUCUAUUCUUAGCAUCACUAAGAGAUUUUCUAUAAUUCAGUAGGCUCUUCUUCCAUGCUGUUUGAAAUACUACCAAUUUGGUUUGACGCCAUUUACGUUCUAAUUGUCGAGUGGUCCGUUUUAAGGUACGCAUAUGAUCAUUAUACCAGGGUGCCAGCUUUUUCUCUCUAAUUAAUUUCUUUUGAGUAGAGCCACUCUAUCUAGUGUGUAGCGGAGCGUUGACUCUAAGCAUUCAGUUGCCUGAUCGAGUUCUCUGGGAUCAGACAGUGAUCAAAAUUUAAUUGAUGCCGCUGUGAGGUUGUUGAUGAAGCUUGAUGCAGUAUCUGACGUGAAAGUACGUUUUACACGGUAGCGAGGUGAGGUAGAAAUAUUAUGAUCAAUAUGUAUUAUGAACGAGAUAAGAUAAUGGUCUGAGACAACUACAGACUGUGGAAAAAUGACAGUAUUUUCUAUAUAUAAUUCGUAUGUUAGUAUCAGGUCAAGAGUGUGACCACCAUUAUGAGUAGAUCCAAUUACGUUCUGAUAAACGCCUACUGAAUCUAAGAUGGACACAACCACUGUUCUCAGAGGGUCUUCUGGGUUAUCAAAAUGAAUAUUAAAAUCACCAACGAUUAAUGCUUUAUCUAUAGAAACAAUCAGCUUUGUUGUCUCUGAAGUCCUCCAUGCAUGGGGUACCAUUCUACCCUCACACAGUUCUUUGGCUAUCUGCACAUGCAAGUUACCAGACAUCGCACGCUUGGAACAGCUAGUGUGCAGGGAGUCAUCAGUGUUUUUAAUUAAACACAUGAGCACCAUUGGGCUGUUUAUUUCAGGCUCUCUGUCAUAUUUUAUGUGAAUGUGACCAUGACAUUCCUUAUAGUUGCCUCUGAUUUCUAUGUACUUCUCUGUGGCUGAUGGAUAGACCUUGGGUCUUUUAAAGACAAAUGUGCAGGAGCUUUUCACUUCUUGCCAAAUGGGAUUAUUUAUUACAUGCAUCCAGAUGCCAGGCUUCAAAUGAUGCAUUCCCUUUUCUGUGUAUUAGAUAACUUGUUUUUGUAUUUAACUGUUUCAGGCAUAAAUUCAAUCCAUUUCUGAAAUGGAACUUCAAGAUCAAAAUUCCAGCAGUCUUUUGGUCUGGGGGAAAGGGACCCUGGCUCAAAAUCAGUGUCAUCACUACUGCCACUUGUUUCAUGAUCACUUUCAUAAAUAAACCCGAAAGCAGAUGUUGUCUGUUCAAUUAAACAUAGGUAUGUAGAGCCUUUGCAGUGAUCUUUGCAGCCUUUGCAGCUAGUUUUCUAGCUGCUCUGUCCAGAUGCCAUUAUCCUGCCUAGGCGAAGUACCACAGAACGAUGCCAGCCAUGGCCAAAGCAGUUCCCUAUUCCACAGUUUGCAUAUGAAACUGAGAUGUAUCUUGAAAGAGCCACUGAAGACUACAAGAAGAAUGGGACACUUCUGACUACCUCAAAGGUCAAGGCAGACAUACUUGAGAAGCUGUCUGAAACUAUAUACAUAUUUACAGCUUAUCCAUCAAGUGCACAAAUGAGUGAUGUUGCUGAGGCACUUGUCAAGAAAUAUCCUUUUCUCAAGGAACUCGGCUCCUUCUUAGGUUGCUAUGGCUGGCAACAAAGUAUAAAAUAAAAGAUGGCCAGUUAUUGCACCAAACUCCGAGGCUCCAGAGUUCCUGAGGUGAUAUACAAUGCACUCAAACGCAAGAGCCCUGCGGACCAGAAGUCUGCAAAUAGUAUUUAAAAAAAAAAACUAGAAAGGCAGAGGUAAACUACCUCUCCCUUACCCAGCAGGAGAGAAUUCAAUUCAAUUCAAUUUUAUUUGUAUAGCGCUUUUUAUGAUAGACAUUGUCUCAAAGCAGCUUUACAGAAUUAUCAACAUGGUAUACAGAUAUUAAAGGUGUGAAUUUAUCCCAACUGAGCAAACCACUGAGUGGCGACGGUGGCAAGGAAAAGCUCCCUAAGAUGGUAAGAGGAAGAAACCUUGAGAGGAACCAGACUCAGAAGGGAACCCAUCCUCAUCUGGGUAACAACAGUUAGUGUGAAAAAGUUCAUUAUGGAUUUAUAUGAAGUCUGUAUGGCCUUAGGAGCAGCCGUAGUCCCAGCAAUCUGGAAUUAGAGAAGAUUUGAGCUCCAUCCAGAGGCAGAAAGGAUCUGGAUCUCUAGUAUCUCCAUAAAUUUGUGUGGGGCUCAGCAAAAGGAGAGAGGGAGAAAAAAGAUUACUAUGACUGCAAAGUAGUAGAACAGAAUCUACUCAUGGUAGGCUUGAGUAAACAAAUACGUUUUAAGCCUAGACUUAAACACUGAGACUGUCUCUGAGUCCCGAACACUAAUAGGAAGACUGUUCCAUAACUGUGGGGCUCUAUAAGCGAAAGCUCUUCCCCCUGCUGUAGCCUUCUCUAUUCGAGGUACCAUCAAAUAGCCUGCAUCUUUUGAUCUAAGUAGGCGUGGCGGAUCAUAUAAAACCAAAAGGUCACUAAGGUCUUUAACUGCUGUACAUGAUGAAACAGAAAGUCCAUCCAGAGUAACCAUGUUACUCUGAAAGAUUACUUCUAGCUACACGUGGGCCUAAUAAAAGUAUUUCUGUUUUAUCAGAAUGAAAAGAGAAUGAAGAAAUUCAAGAACAAGAGAGGAUUCAGUUGCUUACUGAAGUAAGGAAGAGGGACAACAACAAAUUGUUAAAGAAAAAAUGGCCAAAACAUUUGCACACAGAAGAAACUAAAUUGUCAAACUAUCACCAAGCAUAGAGGACAUCAAAGCCAGAUGGCCUGCUCUAUUUGAGGCAUCUCAUAUCCCGGAUGAGUUUCACUGAAUCACAAUGGUGCACCUCGAAUCAAAGUUCAUGUCCAAGCUGGAUGAAUGCACUCCCAGGCUUCUGAAACUCUUCCAGUCCAAGGGUGGAACCAUGGGGUUGAGGUUGCAGGCCAUCCUACUCAAGAUAUCCUUCAGCUCCAAGCAAUCCACCUGCGUGAAGUUGGCCCCUCAAACAAUGCAAAACGUCGGCAAAAUAGUCUCAAUCGUUUGUGCUGUAAAAUUUUUUGUUUGUGCUGCUUCGGUUUUUGAGCUAUUAAAAGAAUAUUUAUGUUAUUCUGAGGCACACAGCCUCCCCAACCCCCCCACGCUCCAAAUUCACUCAAAUAGUCUCGUUUGUUUGUGCUUCAUCUGUGCUGGUUUAUGCCUCUAAAUGUUACAUUUUUGCGAAUGUCUUUUUUCUUUUUUCUUUUUUACAAUAAAGUUGAAGUAACAAGGUAAAAUACAAACAUGUAUAAUAAUGGAUAUUGGAUAUAAUAAAUAAUAAGUUGGAGACAGUGCAUCUGGAAAGUAUUCAGUGCUUCACUUUUCCCACAUUUUGUUAUGUUACAGCCUUAUUCCAAAAUGGAUUAAAUUCAUUAUUUUCCUCAAAAUUCUACAAACAAUAACCCAUAAUGACAAUGUGAAAGAAGUUUGCUUGAAAUCUGUGAAAAUUUCCAUCCAUUCAUUCAUCCAUCUUCUAUACCGCUUAUCCUUUUCAGGGUCACGGGAAACCUGGAGCCUAUCCCAGGGAGCAUGGGGCACAAGGCGGGGUACACCCUGGACAGGGUGCCAAUCCAUCUCAUGGCACACAAUCACACACACAUUCAUACACUUAUUUUUUUAUUCAUUUUCAUGUGAUUCAUGCGAUUCAUUUGCAUGUGAUUCAUUUGCAUGUGAUUCAUUUACAUGUGAUUCAUUUACUGAUUUGCUUCUCUUUAAAUCCAGAUUUAGACCGUGAUAUUACAAAGGUCUUUCCAGAUUAUUACUUGCCACACUGUAUGAGAUAACCCCAAUAAAAUUGCCUGAAUUCUAUAAUAUAAUUUGUUUGAUGUUAGGUUUAAAUCCUCUAAAAACAGAUUCUCAAUUGAAUAACAUUACUCUGUUCCAAUUCACAUCCUUCAAAGCAUUGGCAUGUUUUGUUUACUUUCACAAUUGCCACUACUGUAUUUUAGCUAAUUCUUGAGUUUUACCUCAUCCUAUGCUGUCUUGUAAUUAUUAUAUUUUAGAUGAGCAUUGUAAUAAAUUCAUUCACAGUUUUUUUUCCUUUUUAUACUAACGAAGGGAAACAAAAUUAAAAACUACAAUCACCGAACACAAGCCCAGACCACUACAGACAUGCCAAUCAACCUACCAUGCAUGUCUUUGGACUGGGGGAGGAAACCUCCGCAGCACAGGGAUAACAUGCAAACUCUGCACACACAGAGCUGCAGGAAUCGAACCCCCAACCCUGGAGGUGUGAGGUGAACGUGCUAACCACUAAGCCACUGUGCGCCCUCUUUGCAAAUUUAUUAAAAAUAAAAAACAAAAAAGCACAUGUACAUAAGUAUUCACAGCCUUUGCUCAGUACUUUGUUGAAGCACAUUUGGCACCAAUUACAGCCUCAAGUCUUUUUGAGUAUGAUGUUACAAGCUUGGCACACCUAUUUUUGGGCACUUUCUUCCAGUCUUCUUUGCAGGACCUCUCAAGCUCCAUCAGGUUGGAUGGGGAGCGUCGGUGCACAGCCAUUUUCAGAUCUCUCCAGAGAUGUUCAAUCGGGUUCAAGUCUGGGCUCUAGCUGGGCCACUCAAGGACAUUCACAGAGUUGUCCUGUAGCCACUCCUUUGUUAUCUUGGCUGUGUGCUUAGGGUCACUGUCCUGUUGGAAGAUGAACCUUCGCCCCAGUCUGAGGCCCAGAACGCUCUGGAGCAGGUUUUCCUCAAGGAUGUCUCUGUACAUUGCUGCAUUCAUCUUUCCCUCGAUCCUGACUAGUCUCCCAGUUCCUGCCGCUGAAAAACAUCCCCACUGCAUGAUGCUGCCACCACCAUGCUUCACUGUAGGGAUGGUAUUGCCCAGGUGAUGAGUGGUGCCUGGUUUCCUCCAGACACGAUGCUUGCCAUUCAGGCCAAAGAGUUCAAUCUUUGUUUCAUCAUGGUCUGAGAGGUGCCUUUUGGCAAACUCCAGGCGGGCUGUCAUGUGCCUUUUCAGUAAAAGAAAAGGUAGGAGUGGCUUCUGUCUGGCCGCUCUACCAUACAGGCCUGAUUGGUGGAGUGCUGCAGAGAUGGUUGUUCUUCUGGAAGGUUCUCCUCUCUCCACAGAGACAUGCUGGAGCUCUGUUUGAAUGACCAUAGGGUUUUUGGUCACCUCCCUGACUAAGGCCCUUCUCCCUCGAUUGCUCAGUUUGGCCGGGCGGCCAGCUCUAGGAAGAGUCCUGGUGGUUCCAAACUUCUUCCAUUUACGGAUGAUGGAGGCCACUGUGCUCAUUGGGACCUUCAAUGCUGCAGAAAUGUUUCUGUAUCCUUCCCCAGAUCUGUGCCUCAAUAUAAUCCUGUCUCGGCGGUCUACAGACAGUUCCUUGGACUUCAUGGCUUGGUUUGUGCUCUGACAUGCAUUGUUAACUGUGGAACCUUAAAUAGACAGGUGUGUGCCUUUCCAAAUCAUGUCCAAUCAACUGAAUUUACCACAGGUGGACUCCAAUCAAGUUGUAGAAACAUCUUAAGGAUGAUUAGUGGAAACAGGAUGCACCUGAGCUCAAUUUUGAGUGUCAUGGCAAAGGCUGUGAAUACUUAUGUGCUUUUUUGUUUUUUAUUUUUAAUAAAUUUGCAAAGAUUUCAGACAAACUUCUUUCACGUUGUCAUUUUGGAGUAUUGUUUGUAGAA